GAUGAGUUGGACUCAGAUUUGGCACAGCUGGGAUCUCUUGGAUUCACCGGCUGUCUCUCAGUCGUCCGUUUCAACUCCAUCAGCCCUCUGAAAGCUGCUCUGCUCCACCCGGACACCAGCCCGGUUGUCAUCAGCGGACCUUUGGUCCAGUCCACCUGUGGUUCCUCGACUUCAGCCGAUCCAUACGCAGCCGAGAACAAACGCCACCUGUCAGGUGUGAUAGCCGUGGUGAUCUUCGUGGUUGCGACCGGCCUGGCGAUCACCGCCAGAUUCUUGUACCGGCGAAAAGGGACGUAUCGGAAUCGGGAAGUGAAGGGAGUCAAACAGGAGGACAGUCCAGAUUUUCCUUUCAACAACCAGACUGACUCCCAGAGAGUGUCCUGUGAAAACCAGAAGGAGUAUUUCAUCUAAGUGCAGGGGGCGAGGACCCGGCAACCUGAUGAACCUGAAGCAGAGGAUUCAGACGGGGUUUGUCCACGUCACACUGCACUGAGAGAGACGCUGGAUACUUCACUGAGAGCUUUAAAAUAGGAGAGAAAAUAGAAAGAAAAUGGGUCUUUUUCUGUAUAUUGUGUAUAUAUUGAUACAAACAGGCAACAAAACUGGACUCAUGAGGUCUUGAUAGUCCUUGUAAAUAUGAACUGUAAAUAUGAAAAACCAGCUGGCGUCUCGUCCACGUCACUGUCAAAUUUACUGGAAAACUCGUUUGGUUUUGUACAUUAUUCCAAGCACAACUUUGUGUCCUGUUUCCGGUGACAUGGGGGGCAAAGCGAGUCAUUUUACUGCAGCCCUGACACAAGGGUCAUGGUUGGACACCUGUUCUCUCCACCCAAUGCCACGAGCUUGCUUCAUUUUGGUUUAAAGGGAUCCCUCGGGUUCCCUUUUUGCCGGGAGCCCCCUACAGUCUCUUUUAUUAUUAUAAUAACCUUUAUUUAACCAGGAAUAAAAAAACUCAUUGAAUCUCUUUUAUAAGAGUGUCUUGGUCAAGACAGGCAGCAGUACAUAUACAACCACUCAAACAUACACAAACAAAAUAAAUAUUCAUAAAAAAAAAUACUUAAAAUACACAGGGUGUGUGAUUUAAACUCACAAUCAGGAAAUGAUUCAAUGAAAUCAAACUGCAUUUAGGCAAAACGUCUGCAGCCAUUUGAUUCUGCCUCCAAUUCAUUUAAAAAAUAUUUAAAAAAUGUCCAAUCAGACCAGAUUUUUCAGUUUCAGACACUCUUGUAGUUUGUUCCAGGAACUGUACCUUGGAAGUGACAACACGUCGAGGACAUGACGUGCUUCUAAUGUCCCUGAUCAUUGUGCUCGGAAACGUCACUGGAGUCAUUUUGCUGAUGCACUUUUCUGUGAGGAUGAACCAAGUCCAACUAAGCGUAACCAUGCAGGAGUAAUCGGACUAUGAAUUGUAUUAUCCAGACUUUUCAAUAGCUUUGAUUGAUUUUUCCAAUUUAUUUCCAUUGUUCUUCUCUCCUCUUACUGCACUUCUUUCUUUUUCUUGUAAUAGGAAAGCACAAGAAAAGCAGAUUGGGGGGAAAAAAAACAUCCAUGAGCAUUUAACUUUGUUAGAUCCACUCCAGUUUUCAAUUCCAAACUCCAGUUUCUUUUCUUGUCCCUGAAGCGUGCAACUGCUGGAAACAACCUGCCAGCUUUCUAUAGGUGGAUUUGAAUCAUGAAGAAAAGGAUUCUUUGAUUCUUCAAAUACGCAUAUUAGAUAGAAAGAUGCAGGCUCCCCUUUGUGGAACUUGAAAAUAAAUCACUAGGACUCAUGUAAGCGAGUGAGGCAACACUUAAAAGCCACUCAGGCCACAUGAAAUUUUAAUGAUUUUCCCCCUUCACAAUUAUCGCAAUCACAGAAAUGGAACUAAAUGCUACUGAUCGCGAAAAAAUUGCACAUGGUUUAUUCCUGCUUAGCAUAAACGAGCCUGAAUGUCCCUGAAGCUUUUAGCAGCUCAGGCUGCUGUAACUCGGUGUCUGUCUGUCACCUCCAUCACGACGUGCAGAGAUGGUUAAUGUGCUUUUGAAAUGCUAAUCCACCUCAGUCUGACAGGUGGAUUGUGACUCGGUAGAAAGCAGCAACGUGAUCAAAACGAGACUGGGAGAUGAUCCAAGAGGCAGAGUGUCGAGCAGACGUAAAGUGUAUUGAAAACAUGUAAGAUAAGUCGCCGGGAUGAAGCGAAUGCCGCCGCGUGUUAAUUCAGUUCGCGCGUAAAGAGCAGAAAGAGGAUCGACAGCAGCUGUUCAUCAAGUAUUCCUUCAAUGUUUCUCCGAAGAGCUGAUGGGAUUUUAAUGGAAAAAAGAUGUUUGAAUUUUAAAGUGCAUCCGUCAUCCCUUUGUUUUUGUUUUCUUUUAAAAGUAAUCAUUUUCUCUUGAGGAGCUGCUGUGGUUUAAAAAAGUGACUUCACUUGUUAUUGUACUUUAGCUUUACCAAAAAUGAAAACCCCUAUGAUGUUUUUCAUCUACAGAUUCCACCGGCAACUGUGUCAGACCACUCGCAUUUAGUUCAUGUUUUUACACAGCGUUUUUUUUCCUUUGAAAAUGCCAGAAAACACUUUUAAAUCCUGCAUUCAUAUUUAUGGGAUUCAGAAAGAGCACGUUGUUUAUAGUUUGUAACAUAACGACAAAUAUAGAUGUUACAACUGAGGUGUAAGGUGAUUCUCUUCUUGAAAUCCUUGAGCGUUUGUGAACGUCGCCCCUUUCAUUGAAAGAGCUUGGUGUGUAUUUCCUGCACCUCAAGAGCUGUAAAGGUUACAACAUAAAUGCUCUUUUAAAAUCUGGCAGUUCUCAAUGAUUUAUGAUAAUAGGUCUGAGUCCUGGGAGCUAUAACAUGCAUUUCACAUUUUCAAAAAGUGGUUUACGACACAAAUAAAGAAGUUUUUUCUGGUCUGUGAA